CUUUAUCGGAGAGUUUGAUCCUGGCUCAGGACGAACGCUGGCGGCGUGCCUAAUACAUGCAAGUCGAGCGGACAGAUGGGAGCUUGCUCCCUGAUGUUAGCGGCGGACGGGUGAGUAACACGUGGGUAACCUGCCUGUAAGACUGGGAUAACUCCGGGAAACCGGGGCUAAUACCGGAUGCUUGUUUGAACCGCAUGGUUCAAACAUAAAAGGUGGCUUCGGCUACCACUUACAGAUGGACCCGCGGCGCAUUAGCUAGUUGGUGAGGUAAUGGCUCACC
rnacentral:rRNA from 1 species